UUGUGUUAUAUUUUUUCCCUCUUAUACGGAAUACUCUCUCUCUCAUUUUCCCAAACCCUAGCUGAAAAAAAAAUUGGUAAAGACUAAACCUUGAAUAUCACCACCUCUCUUGGAUGCAACCAUCUUUGUAUAUCCCUUUUUCUGACGAAGGAAAAUCAUGGGACAAAUCCAACUCCUUCUCUUUGUCCCUUUACCAUUAGAUAUGGUUAGACACAACAAGCCAUUUUAUAUUUAUAAUCAUAAGUACACAAUGUAUUGAGUUUUGGGAUCUUAUUUGGAACAUAUUGUAGAUUUUGGCUCCACAAGCCUUUGAGCUCUCCCAAGCCUUAGAACCAUCCUACCAAGAAAGUUCAUCAACUCAUUGAUAUUCUUCUGGGAGAGAGUGAUAUAUAUGAACUUUUUUUUUGAAACAUUGCAAGGGGAGGAGAGUUAAGGUGACUUUUUGUGAAGCUAGAUUUUAUUGCUGAGGUGAAUUGAGAGAGCCAAUAAUGUCAAGGUAAAGUUGAUUUAUAUUAUUGACAACAGUAGUGUGGUUCAGUAGACUUUUUUUUUCUUCGCACAAAUCAAUCAAUAUAAGAGCAGGGGGAGCAUUGUAUUUAAACGUUGAUCUUCCUGUCCUUUAUUUGUUGGCUAGUUAAAUUGUUGAAAGUUUGUUUAUUAAUUUGAUGCAGAGUCUGUAGUUGACAAUGGAAAUGGAUAUUUAGUGGUAGUUUAUUUUCUAGAAAAUUUAAUCUUGUCAAAUAUAGAAAUGAACUUACUAAAUAGUGUAAAUGCUUGUCAAACCUCUUACUCUGAUUAUGGAUUCUAUGCUUACUUUUUUGUUCAAUUCAUUUUCUCAUAUAUGGCUAUUAAUCUAUUACAUAGCUCUUCCUUAGACAUAGAUGAAUAACUUUAAAAAUUGGUACCCUUGGUCAUGAAGAGAUAUGCAAUUAUAGUAAUAAGACAUAUAUGACUUAAGAGUCGCAACUAGUUUAAUAUUUUUUCUAUGUUUGUUUUAAUGCAGAAACUUCUGAUAGUAUUUGUCUCAUUUAUUCUUUUACUUAAUCAUUCUUAUUCCACACCAAAACCUUAUCUUCAAAUAAUAAUUUCUACACUAGUUCUUACAAAAAUUUACUAGUAGGCUACUCAAAGCUAUUUGAGCUAUCUAUAUAUUGAUUCACUUUUUGUUGUAUUGACGUACGUCUUGUCUUUAUAAUGUAAUUGAUUUAAAUUAUAAAGCAUUUUUUUUCAUUAGAAUGACUUUUAAUGAAACUAUAUGUAUUGUAGAGUCUAAAUUUUACAUCUUUGUGACACUUUUACUUGCAUUACUUGAUUCUGUUUCUUCUUAUGCCCAUUUCAUAAAAAAUUUCUUAUACCAACCAAUGAGAGACAAAAUUAUUGAUUUUAUAAGAGCACCAUCAAUUACUUGUCUUUUGCAUAGACUGUGCUAGUGCAAGUGAUUGCCAAAGGAUAUAAUUCAUACAUGAACCCUGUUGGACAUCAUUGCUCUAAGUAUCACUCUAUGUGGUUCACUAUUAAUUACUUUUUAGCUCAUUGUCCCAUAAUUUUCAUAUAAGUUUUGUUUCUAAUUAACAUAACAAUUUACUUCUUUCUUUGCUAAUAAUUUAAUGAUCUAUUUUGCAAUUUGUAGGUAAUGAGAUUGUAUUUCCUCAGAGCAAAAUUAAGGAAUAUUUAUUGCGGUCUUUAGAAUUAAAUAAUUUAUUUAUCCACAACUUUGUACACUUCUUGUUAUUUCUUAGAUGUUGAAUUUAGCAACUAGCAUUACUUUGAAGGUUUAAGAAAUAUACUAGAAUUCAUAUUUUUGCUAUUAUUUCGCUUUCUUGACAAGAAACAGAUUUUAGUUUUUUAAUACAAAAAGAUAACGUAUCAUCUUAAACAGCACACUUUAAAAUCUUUUUUAUUGAAUAUCCAAGGAUCAACUCAAAAUUUGAUUAUGCAGUAUGCCACAUAUUUGGCCAGCUAAAACUGGUCAUGUAAUUGUACCCAUAUUCAAUUUACUUUCUUUGUCUAAUAGAACAUUCAAAUGCUGGCUUCUCACUUAUUGUUUCUGCUUCUAUGAUGAUCCUUGUGUUGCAUUCUGGAGUCAUAUCUGAAAUAAUAAAUGAAGUUGAAGAAAGCCUUAAAAGAUCAAGUUUUCUUGAGGACUUUAGAAUGAUUGAGCUUCCAAAUUUGAUUGAGUUGCUUGAACUUCUGGGUGAGGGAAAUGGAUAUCUUGCUGGUAAAGUAGUGAAAGUUCUACAAGACAUGUUUGAAAUUAUAACCAAUGAUAUGAUGGUUAAUUCUUCAGGUUGGAUGCUUUCGGACUUACCAUUCUUUUGUAAGAUCAGAAGUUAACAUGUUUUAUAUACUAAUACUACCAUACUUCAUGUUCAAAUCACAUAGAGCAGGUGAUUAAACUUGUAACAUUCAUUUAAACAUAUAAUUACAUUUGUAAACUUUUGUGAUUUUCAAUCAUGAUUUGGUGCUUGUCUUUUCAUUUUGUUCAUGUAUAGCUUUUGAUACUCAUUCCAUUGAACUGAUGAUUAUGAACCUUUAAGUAAUUGCUAGUGCUCUCACAUUUGGAUUUUUAAACCUUUACAACUUGUGAACUUAUUGAAUUAAAAAAAAACACAUCCUUACACAUUUAGUAAGCUAUUAGCUGGCUUAGGAUGAUAAUAAUAAUUUUUGCUUGAUUAAUUUCAUAUCUGACAGGUUACAACUAAGUUCUUAUGUGUAUAUUGUACUAGAAUCUUACUUAUUUCGUCCUAAUAAUGCGAUGCUUACAAUACAAGCCUUCUAAAAAAGUUAUUCCAUGAGAUGUGACAAGCAAAAUAGAAAAUGAUACUUAAUUUUGAAAGCUUUGUGUUGGGCAGCUGUAGAAUAUUUUGUGCUAAAGUAAUAACUUUUCAAUAUGUUGAAUAUUUAAGACUACUUGAAUACUUAAAGAACAUUUUGUUGUUGAUGACAGUGUUGAAUGUUUUAAACUAAUUUGUGGAUUGUUAAUACAAUGUUGAA